UAUACGACUCUCAGCAACGGAUAUCUUGGCUCUCGCAUCGAUGAAGAACGUAGCGAAAUGCGAUACUUGGUGUGAAUUACAGAAUCCCGUGAACCAUCGAGUCUUUGAACGCAAGUUGCGCCCGAGGCCUUUCGGUUGAGGGCACGCCUGCCUGGGCAUCACGC
rnacentral:rRNA from 1 species